CAGCCUGGCUUCUGGACAUUAUUACAAGGUGCUGUUUCUUAGCUGGUUAUUCAAUUGCGUUCUUGCUAUUCGACAUUCUUCUGCAGUCUUGUUGUUUAUUUUCUGAAGAUACAGUUCUGUUGAUGACAAAGAUAAUCAACAACGCAGAAAACGCUUGGACGAUUGUUAACGUCUCGAGGACUGUGUUCUGCAACCCACACAAUGGACUGCAUAUGGGGGCACAACGAGAAGGUGCCGAAUCUCUGUGAAACAUAAUGUAAAAUGGAUAUUUGCAAUUGAUGGUGAUUCUCAAGAAGACAGGAAACAUACAAUGUCGCAAUGAUGUGGAAACAAUCACAGUCCGUGCUGGAGUUUGAAACAACAACAUCUACCUGUUUUAAAAAAACGUAAAGGAAAGGCAAUUACAC